CCUACGGGAGGCAGCAGUGAGGAAUAUUGGUCAAUGGCCGGAAGGCUGAACCAGCCAAGCCGCGUGAAGGACGAAGGUGCCAAGCAUUGUAAACUUCUUUUGUCAAGGGACAAAUUCAGGCUCGAGAGCCUGACCGAGGGUACUUGAAGAAACAGCAUCGGCUAACUCUGGGCCAGCAGCCGCUGUAAUACGGAGGCUGCGAGCGUUAUCCGGAUUUAUUGGGGUUAAAGGGUGCGUAGUCGGACUGUUAAGUCAGCGGUAAAAGCCCGGGGCUAAACCCCGGCGAGCCGUUGAAACUGGCUGUCUAGAGAUGGCGAGAGGUAGGCGGAAUGCGCAGUGUAGCGGUGAAAUGCUUAGAU
rnacentral:rRNA from 1 species